rnacentral:sRNA from 1 species
AUUGCGCAUGCGCGCGCCCCGGCGGCGCGGGUCUGGGUCUGGGUCUGGGGAUGUGGUGCCGGCUGCCGGCGACCGCCGGCAGUAGAGCGGUGGCCAGGCCGCUGGCCUUGCUCUGGCGAUGUGGUGGCCCAGGAGGUGGCAGGACGGUCAAGACCAGCGCGAGGGUCCUGGGCAGGGCCCGACAGUGGUUGUGGCCAGUGAGAAUGUGCAGUGUUGUAUUGCAGAAGAAGCUAAUAAGCUUAUCUGGUCUCUUGUUUCAGUGCCUCUAGGGGAUCCACGUUCAGAAGCUGACUCUGCAGGCGAGACCAACGUUAUUUUCCCGGUGGCUGUGUUCAAAACCACCCAAAGGGUUUGAGAAAUACUUUAAGAGGAGUGGAAGGAACAAACUCAGAAACAUCAACAGCACCAAAAAAAGUUGUUGGAGUAGCACUAUAUUUGUGAAGGGGACAGUGUCAUGGCUUACUUGUCCUAGAACAUUACAGGAAGAGGCUGGUAGGUCCGUGGGUCACAAGUGUACGUAGGAGGCCAGAUUUUUUGGAGGAGAGGCAGACUCUGCUUA